rnacentral:rRNA from 1 species
UACGGAGGGUGCAAGCAUUGAUCGGAAUUACUGGGCGUAAAGCGUGCGCAGGCGGUUCGUUGUGUCGGCGGUGAAAGCCCCGGGCUUAACCUGGGAAUGGCCGUUGAAACUGGCGAACUGGAGUGUGGCAGAGGGGGGUGGAAUUCCGCGUGUAGCAGUGAAAUGCGUAGAGAUGCGGAGGAACACCGAUGGCGAAGGCAGCCCCCUGGGCUAACACUGACGCUCAGGCACGAAAGCGUGGGGAGCAAACAGG